rnacentral:hammerhead_ribozyme from 1 species
AAGCGAAACCGAGCCCCAGCCAUGGGGCCGGUCUACCCGAUGUGGUGAUCGGGUACUGAUGAGCAGCCUGGA